UACGUAGGGACCAAGCGUUGUCCGGAAUCAUUGGGCGUAAAGGGCGCGUAGGCGGCCACUGCAAGUCGGUUGUGAAAUCUCCGGGCUUAACCCGGAAAGGUCAAUCGAUACUGCAGGGCUAGAGUGCAGAAGGGGCAACUGGAAUUCUCGGUGUAGCGGUGAAAUGCGUAGAUAUCGAGAGGAACACCUGCGGCGAAGGCGGGUUGCUGGGCUGACACUGACGCUGAAGCGCGAAAGCUAGGGGAGCGAACGGG
rnacentral:rRNA from 1 species